rnacentral:rRNA from 2 species
UGGGGAAUCUUGCACAAUGGGGGAAACCCUGACGCAGCGACGCCGCGUGAAGGAAGAAGGCCUUCGGGUUGUAAACUUCUUUGAUCGGGGACGAAAAUGACGGUACCCGAGGAACAAGCCACGGCUAACUACGUGCCAGCAGCCGCGGUAAUACGUAGGUGGCAAGCGUUGUCCGGAAUUACUGGGCGUAAAGGGCGUGUAGGCGGGGGGACAAGUCAGAUGUGAAAUACCGCGGCUUAACUGCGGGGGUGCAUCUGAAACUGUUCUUCUUGAGUGUCGGAGAGGAAAGUGGAAUUCCCAGUGUAGCGGUGAAAUGCGUAGAGAUUGGGAGGAACACCAGUGGCGAAGGCGGCUUUCUGGACGAUAACUGACGCUGAGGCGCGAAAGCGUGGGGAGCAAACAGG